UUCUUGAGGUUUUGUGCUGCGAUUUAUGUUGGCGACUAGGUUUUGUGUAAUCGAUUGGGUUACUUUCUCUGGUGCGAUUUCUCUUUACUUUCCCUAAUCUAGUACGGCGGCGAGAAUAGAUGGGUUUACGAUCGGUCUACUGUCGAAGUUUCUUUUGUUGUGAUUCUUCUUCGAUAUUGAUUAUUUGGUUAUUUUAAAUGAUCGAAGGUCUAAUACUAGUAUUAUGGUUCAAGUUUUGACGGUCUUUUUAUAUCAUGAUUGGUUCUCGGGACUCACCUUCGUUUGUUUAUGUUAGUGCAAUCGAUUUGUUAGUUCGUGAUCUUUCGUUUGAAGGUUAAUUUUGUCUCUUUGUCUAUGUGAAAUUCUAUCCAUUUAUUCUCCGAGUUUGAUAGUUAUCGGCAGUCGUGGAAGAUUAAUUUACUCAUUGUUUCCUCUUCUCUGGCCAUUAAUGGAUAUCUUGAUGUUCGGUAUUCGCGCUAAGCCGGUGAGCAGCCUCGCAGCCUCAGUAUCAUACUUCAAAUAAUUUCUAUGCAAAUGAGGUUUAUCGUGAUUUGCGCACAUCAAUCUUAUGCCAAAAUUAGCUGAUUCCCUGACUUGGUGUAGCCUGUAGGACGUUUUCUCCCAGUGUCUCCAUAAAUAAAUUGAAACAGGCUGGUUGGUAUAUGGAGUCAUCUCUGGCAAUGAUAGUGUAUAUGGAGGGUGGUGGAGGGAGUAUAGUAUAGUAUUGUUUAACAAUUUUAUCUUCUACAUAGACAUUCCAUGUGCUUAUCGUUAUACUCUUCAAUUUCCAGUGUCUUACAUCCUGGUUUGGUGCUUGGUUAUUUUUACUCUGUUUCAUCAGUUUCUUUUUUGUUACCUGUAUAUUGUGCUGGGCCUCAACAUGUGACAAGAGAUGCAAAAUAAAUUUUAGUUCUGUUGAAGGUGGAGCUUAAGGGGGGGCUGGCUGUGUUGGACAUGGACCAAUAUUUGAUGCUGGUGUUGACCGAGUUUAUGAAGGGUGGCAGAGGGAGUAUAGUAUUUUUCUACUGUCGUUUAUCUUCUUACUGGACAUCUCCUUUGGGUUAUGCCGUUUUGUGUAUAUACAAUGUAGGGAGUAUACUAAAGUGUUUUUGUCUACUUCGUUUUAUCUUCUACGUCGACCUUUCCAAUGCUUAUUGUUAUACUCUUUAAUUUCCAGUUUCUGGUCGUUGGCAAGUUCUUAAUCAACCUUCACAAAGAGAGUUCUGUUUUAAUGCUGCAUUAUCCUUUCUCUCUUUCAUCAGUAUUUUGUUUGUUACACAGAUGUAGAUUUUAUCUUCUACGUAGACAUUCCCGGUGCCUACCUAUAUACUCCUCAAUUUACAGUGUUUUAUCAAUGGCUGGUUCGUAAUCAACCUUCCGUGGAAGCCAGUUCUGGGUUGGUGCUUGGUUACUUUUACUCCGUUUCAUCAGUUACAUUUUGUUACAUGGAUAUCGGGUUUGGCCUAAACAUAUGACAGGAGAUACAGAAUAAAUUAAGUUCUGUUGAAGUGGAGCUUAUGGAGGGCUAUCUUGGUCUGGCUGUUGGACAUGGACCAAUAUUUGAUGCUGGCGUUGAUCGAGCUUAUGAAGGGUGGCAGAAGGAUUAUAUAGUAUCUUAUACUUCCGUUUAUCAUCUCGCUGGACAUUUCCUUUGUUUAUUGUUAUGCUCUUCAGUUUCCUGAUGUCAGAUAUUUGGUACUUCAGUUUUCAAGAGAAGGCAGUUCUGGGCUUUUACAUUGUGACAAGGAGUAUAGAAUAGUGUUAUUUCACUACCUCGUAUCUUCUCCCUGGACCUCCCUGCCCUUAUUGUUGUUCUCUUUGUUAUCCAGUCUCUGACUAUCGGGUGGAUUCUUCAUCAGGCUUCGCUGGAAGGCAGUUCUAGUUUGAACUUUUGAUGCUUGGUUAACUGUUCCCUUUAACCUGUUUGUUUAUUUACCUAUGUUUCAGCCUUUGUCACGGGUCGUUGAAGUGGACCAAUCUCUGAUGCUUGCAUUUAUGGUGUUUAUGAAGGGUGACAUUUAUCCUGUCAUUUGUCUUCUAGCUGAGCUUUCUCUUUCCUUACUAUUAUGCUCUUCAAUCUCCAGAUGUCUGAUCUUUGGGUUGUUCUAUCAGUUUCUAGGGGAAAGUCUUUCUUUGUUUAUACUGUGUGGCAGAGGGAGUAUAGUAUUAUAAUUUUUUCAAGUAAUUAUUUUUUCCUAUAUAGACUUUCUUCGCGUUUAUCUUUACUCUUCAAUUUCCAUUAUCUGAGCGUUGGGUGGUUCUUAGUCAGCCUUCAGCAGUUUACGUCGGAAGGCAAGUCUUGCUUGAUGCUCAAGUGUCUUUACUCUGUAUUAUGUUUUUUGUUUGCUAUGUAAAUGUGUAUAAUAAUGUUUUUGUCUUCAUUGCAAAAUAAUUGUUUCCGUCAAAGUAGGAGUUUUAGUGGGACUGUCAUUGUGGACGCUGUCACAUCUCUGAUGCUGGCAAGGAUAGUGCUUAUGGAUGCUAGUAGAGAGAGCACACUAUUUUUCUGCUGUCAUUUAUCUUCUAGCUGGUCUUUCCUUUACUUGUGAAUCUAUCAGAGUAUGAGCUGAUUGAAGGGCUAUCUUCGCCUGGUUGUUUGACAUGGGCCAAUACUCAAUGUUGGUAUUUGAAGUGUUCUCGGAGGGUGGUAGAGGGAGUAUAGUACUUUUGUAUUUCAUUCAUCUUCUAGCUGGAGUUUCCCCUUUCUUAUUGCUAUGCUGUUCACAUCUCCAGUUGCCUUAUUCUUCUUUCUCAAGGGAAGGCGGAUUGGUGUUCUACAAUGUGAUAAGAGGGAGUGCAUUAUAAUAUUUUUCUGUGCUUAUCGUUUUACAUUCGUUUCUAAUUUUCUGCAGUCAUUUAUCUUCUAACUGGACUUAAUCUUUGCUUCUUAUUAUGCUCUUUGAUUUCCAGAUGUCUCUGCAUGGUUCUAUAGGAAAUUCGGUUCUGGGUUUGAGAGAGAGUAUGGCAUGUGUCUUAAUGUUGGCCGGUUCUUGAUCAACUUUCAGUGGAAGCCAUUUCUGGUUUGAUGCUUGGUUAUUUGCACUCUAUUUCAUCAGUUUCUUUUUUUGUUAAAUUGGAUAUUGUGUUUGUCCUCAACAUGUGAUAGAAUUUACAAAUAAAUUUUGGUUCUGUUAAAGGUGGAGCUUAAGAUGGUCUAUCUUUGUCUGGCUAUUGGACACGAAUCAAUAUUCAAUGCUGGAGUCGACAGUAUUUAUGAGGGCAGGGAGAGGGAGUGUAGUAUUUUCAUAUGUUGUCAUCUUCGUGGUAGACCUACCCUUUGCUUAUUUUUAUGCUCUUCAAUUUACCGAUGUCAAAUAUUUGGGUUCAGUUUUCAAGAGAAGGCAGUUAUGGGCUUUUACAGUGGCAAAGGGAGUAUAGUAUGAUAUCUUUUAUAUUUUUUCUUUUACGUAGACAUUCCCUGUGCUUAUCAUUGUACUCCUGAAUUUCUAGUGUCUGAUCUAUGGAUGCCCUUGCGCUGUUUUGUUUUAAGUUUUUUUACUUGUUGUUUCAUCAACUUUUGUUUAUUAUAGAUAUGGGUAUUGUUUAACAUCUCAACCUGUUACAGGCGAUAUUAAGAACAGGCUAUGGGUUUAUCUAAGUUGGAUCUUACAGUGUGGCUGUCUGGUCAUGUUGUUGCCUGUUGGACAUUGAUGUAGUGUUUAUGGUGCGUUGCAUAAGAUCUUUUGUGGUCCCUGAUUGUUUGCAUCAGAAGGCAGUUCUGGUUUGGUGGCUAGGUUCCCUUUGCUCUGACUUUUCAACUUCUCUUUGUUAUUUAAAUACGGAAAAUGUUUUUCGCUCACCGCGUAACAGGAUUACGAAUAAUUAAUGGUUCUAUCCAAGUUGGACCUUAUGGUGUGGCUAUCUUUAUCUUGUUAGGACAAAACAUGAACUCUUAGAUGCCGGCAUUGAUAUAGUGUUUAUUGUAGGUAGAGAGGGAGUAUAGUGUUUUUUCUGCACCAUUUAUCUUCCACUUAGAAUUUCGUCUGGCUUGUCUUAUCCUUACCAAUUUCCAGAGAUCUUUGGGUUCUUGAUCAGUGACCAUCAGAAGGCAGUUCUAGUUUGAUGCUUGGCUCCCUUUGGUCUGUUUCAUCAACUUCUAUUUAUUUUAUGUAGAUAUGGAUACUGUUUUUGAACUCACCCUGUGACAGGAGAAAUUAAAAAUAAGUUGCGGUUCUAUCCAAGUUGGUUCUUCUGAGAUCUUUGGGUGGCUCUCGAUCAGUUUCCAUAAGAAGGCAGUCCUGUUUUCAUGCUUGGUGUCCUGUGAUCUGUUCCAUCCACUUCACUUUAUUAUGUAGAUAUGGUUUCUUCUUUCCUCACCCUGUGAUAUGACAGGCUGCCAGUGGUACACAAUAGUUUUUCCAAUUCAUUUGUUCUUCUAUCUAGACUUUCUUGCUGCUUAUUGUAUGAUUUACAAUAUCCAGAUCUUAUCUUUUGAUGGGUCUUAAUUGAUUUUCAUUGGAAGGCCGCUCUGAUUUUAUAAUUGAUUUCCUCUGUCCCGUAUCAUCAGCUUUUAUUUUUUAUAUUGUGGUGUGGAUAUUUUUUCUGCCUCACCCUGUGACAGAUGAUAUAAAGAACAAAAGUGAACCAAAAGUUAGAAGAUUAUGGACAGAGCAAUUCAGGAGGGAUAAGAUAAGUCACCUUAUUGCUUCAAAAUGUUUGUGGGCCAAGCAAAAAUGAGAUUUUUCUUGAGGAUUAAUUGAGUUCCAUAUCUUUUAAAGAAAAGAGUAGGACACUUACCAUUAAACUCAUCAAUUUCCAGUAUCUUAUCAUUGUGGGUUUUUUUAUCAACCUUCAGUGGAGGCCUUCUAGUUUGAUACUUGGUUGUUUUUACUCUGUUUCAUCAGCUUCUUUUCUGUUACAUGGAUAUUGUUUUCGGCCUCCACCUGUGACUGGAUGAUACAAAAUAAAUUUUGGUUCUGUUAAAGGUGGAGCUUAAGAUGCUGUAUCUUGGUCUGGCUGUUGGGCAUGAGGAUCUUCUGGCGUUGCAGUGUUUGUAUGAGGGGGUGGGGUGUCUGAGCAAUGGCUGGUGCUCGAUCAACCUUCAGUGGAAGCCAGUUCCAGUUUGAUGCUUGGCUAGCUCUACUUUGUUUCAUCAGUUCCUUCUUUUACAUGAAUAUUGUGUUUGACAUCACCCUAUGAGAGAAGAUACAAUCAUACAAAAUAAAUUUGAUUACGUUAAAUGCGGAGAUUGAGGUGGCUAUCUUUGUCUGGUUGUUGGACAGGAUUAGGAACCAAUCUUUUGAUAUACUGGCCUUAACUUAUUUCACUUGGAGCUUGAGGUGAGCUAUUUCACUUAAUUACCUCAAAACUGUUCACCUUUCAUGUUGUAACGUGAUCAUUUUUCUUCGGCUUAUGUAUUCAAAGCUGAUAAGAAACCCAUGAUUUCACUUA